UUAUACCUAUGGGGUGUCUGCGUUAAAUUCGGCAUGAGCACGGUGACCUCCCAGGAGUGAGGUACUGCCAGGUUGCCUAAGGAGGGGUGAGCCAGCCCAGGUCAGAAACAGAGCAGUUCAAAACUCCUGUGCUAAUCAGUGGCGGGGUGACACCUGUGAAUAG
rnacentral:SRP_RNA from 1 species